rnacentral:rRNA from 1 species
AUUGAACGCUGGCGGCAGGCCUAACACAUGCAAGUCGAACGAGUGGCGGACGGGUGAGUAAUGUCUGGGAAACUGCCUGAGGGAGGGGGAUAACUACGGGAAACGGUAGCUAAUACCGCGACCCAUCAGAUGUGCCCAGAUGGGAUUAGCUAGUUGGUGGGGUAACGGCUCACCAAGGCGACGAUCCCUAGCUGGUCUGAGAGGAUGACAAGCAACACGGGAACUGAUACACGGUCCAGACUCCUACGGGAGGCAGCAGUGGGGAAUAUUGGACAAUGGGCGCAAGCCUGAUGCAGCCAUGCCGCGUGUAUGAAGAAGGCCUUCGGGUUGUAAAGUACUUUCAGCGGGGAGGCGUUACCCGCAGAAGAAGCACCGGCUAACUACGUGCCAGCAGCCGCGGUAAUAC